GUUUCAGUUGAUUUUCCUUGAAGGGCAGCUUACCAAUGUCAGAAUUUCAUCUCAGAAAUUGGAAACUAAUUGUACUAGGAGUUUUUAUGUAAAUACAAAAGAAAAAAGUUUCUACACUAUGCAAGUUUCACCAAAGUGGCAAAAAGUAGCUACUUAUUGUUUUUGCCAUCCUUAGAAUGACUCUACUGCAAAUUGGAGGAAAUAGGAUCUAUAUAAAAGUUUAUUAUAAUGAAUAUUUUUGAAAAUCAAAAAUUUUCUGAGAAAAGCAAGUAGAACAUCUUUCACCAACAAAUGUGGUGAUAAAAAAUCUAUUCCAAAGUAAGUUACUUUGCUGCACUUUGCUUUGUUGUAUCUGAAGUCAAUUGAAGAUGUAUUUCAUUGGGUUGUUCAAAACAUAUGUAACAUUAGGUUUGAAAUUAAUAAUUCAGGGUGUGGGGCAUUUGAAAGUGCAUUUAAACACCCCUUUAUACUUUUUUGUCUAGAACAGCCCUUAAUUGUUUUAAUUUUUUUCUAUAAGCUGUAAAGCCAAUGUAGAAAACAAUCCUAUAUGAAAUUAUAAAAUAUUGUGUGCAUUUUAUAAGAUUUUGAUGUAGCUGAUAUGAUUUGUACUUUCACUUUAAUGAAUUUUUCCCCCAUAUAUUUGAUGCAUUAUAUAGAACUUUUGUAUAGUGAUUGUUAUGUAUUAUGAAACCCUUGUUAUACUUCAGUUGUGUUCCUUUCUGUUUAAUCUUUUAUGUAUAGAUUCCUUGUAAUAAAACUUAUCUUCAAAGAGGUCCUACUUAAAAAAUAAAUAAAAUAAUACAUU
rnacentral:lncRNA from 1 species